UAAUACCCCUUUCCUCUUCACUUCGUACCAAACAACCCCUAAGAGGAGGGGAGGAAUCCCUAACCGUGCUUUUCCAGGCAUGUGUGACCGUAUGAGGCAAAGCAUUAAUUGUUUCCCCCGUCUCUCACCAAACACAACCCAAACACGGAGCAUAGGAAUUCACCAAGUUCAGCACUCGACCAAGGCUGCGUAACAAAAAGUGUUUCUAGGGAAAAGUUGAACGUUCGAACUUCCAUUAACUGGCUUCUUCAACAAUAUCAGGGAGGAAGUUUAUCAUCCUUGCGAAAUAUCUGAAGGUUUUGGCAGCGUAUGAGUCCAAGUAUGAGAAUUUGGUUACAAAUGAAUUUUGCGGUAAUGAUGAUCAUUCAUUAAGAACUAGAAAGGAUGAUUUUGCUGCUUACGAAAGUUUUUUGCCGCUUCAAUAUUGUAGAUUUACAGAAUUUUACAGGAAGAAGAGUAUUGCAGAAGAAUAGAGAAGAAACGAAUUGUCAAAGAAGUAAGCAAAGAAUUCAAUAGGUGCAACCACGAAUUCAUAAGUUAUAACCGUGGAGUUUUACAUGUGGGAAUUAGAAAAGUCAACAUUAGGAGAAGUUGUGAAAUUCACGGGUGUCACCGCUUCAUACUCACACUCGUCAGGUGUUGAAAUCCACGGGUGUCACCUCUUCAUACUCACACUCGUCAAGUGUUGAAAUCCACGGGUGUCACCGCUUCAUACUCACAGCCGUCAAGUGUUGAAAUCCACUGGUGUUACCGCUUCAUACUCACAGCCAUCAAGUGUUGAAAUUCACGGGUGUUGCCGCUUCAUACUCACACCCGUCAAUUGUGGGCAUCAAAAAAAGAAUUGCAAAAUUCAUGGGUGCGACUACCGUUGUCAUACUCUCACCCAUCAAGUAAGAUCACGGAUGUGAGCACUACUUCAAAGAAUGCAUUCGCAGGGAGAGACUACAUUCUCUAAUAAAUCGAAGCAUCACUUUGCUUACAAAGGAUAUAAUAUAAUCCAAUCUUGAGAAAGACAUAAGAAAUAGUCUUUGCUCUAUUUCUCUUCUUUUUAUAUUUGUAGAAGUAGUAUUUUAUUUUAAAUUUCUUUCUUACAUACUCCUUAAUAGAGUAGUUUCUUUUUGUUGGAUAGUUGAAGAAGCUUGGUAUGAUGCUAUAAUAUUAUUUUUACUUUA